AUUGAACGCUGGCGGCAGGCCUAACACAUGCAAGUCGAACGAGUGGCGGACGGGUGAGUAAUGUCUGGGAAACUGCCUAAUGGAGGGGGAUAAAUACUGGAAACGGUAGCUAAUACCGCAUACCAUCAGAUGUGCCCAGAUGGGAUGAGCUAGUUGGUGGGGUAACGGCUCACCAAGGUGACGAUCCCUAGCUGGUCUGAGAGGAUGACCGGCAACACUGGAACUGAGACACGGUCCAGACUCUUACGGGAGGCAGCAGUAGGGAAUCUUGCGCAAUGGGCGAAAGCCUGAUGCAGCCAUGCCGCGUGUAUGAAGAAGGCCUUCGGGUUGUAAAUUACUUUCAGCGGGGAGGCGUUACCCGCAGAAGAAGCACCGGCUAACUCCGUGCCAGCAGCCGCGGUAAUUC
rnacentral:rRNA from 1 species